rnacentral:lncRNA from 1 species
CACUGAAUUUAGUUCUGUGGAUACAAAGAUGCACAAGUAAUUCUGUCCCUUUCAUGGACUUUGACCUGUACCAGGAUUAUUCUCUGCUUUUCCAUGGUACCACAAUCUUGCUAUGCUUUUUAAACAACAGGCAGAGGAGAAAUUUUGCUUGAGCUCUGAAGUUAGAUUUUCUGAAACUUGAGGUGAAAACUCCUAGGCCACAGUCUUCCUUGUGGAUAUUUGGAUGUAAACUCCAAAUGUUUGGAUGUAAAAACUAUUUGGAUGUAAAAAAAAACUAUUUGGAUGUAAAAACUCCAGUCUUCCUUGUGGAUAUUUGGAUGUAAAACAAAGCAAGAGGUGACUUGAGCUCAAGGUCCACCACUCUGGGUUUAUGUGUUACUUCACAACUAUCUCACAGCCUCCCUGGGAGGCUCAGGUAGGACUUCAGCUAUGGAAAGGGGUAGGUGUCUUAUUUUUUCAUCUUCCUGUCAUGAUACAAUAAUGCUUAACAGUUAAACAACUACGUUUUGAACCCAUGUCUUCUAGGAAGUAAGGGAGGAUGGCACACUUUACUAUUCAUGGACACGCAUUUAUAGACACCCAAACACUAUGCCAACUUAUGUUUGGUGUUUAAACAUUAGUGUGUUCUAUUUGUUUUUUUUUUUUUUUUUUUUCUUUGUUUGGUAGAUGGAUUUGGCAGAAGAGAAAAACGAGUAGAUAAAGAUUUUGGAGGGGUAGAUGAAAUCCAAUUGUUCCAUCCUCACUAGGAAAUGCUUAAUACAUGCAGUGGGUAUGGAGGAGCAUUUCAGGUAUCCUGUUUUCUAAAGGCGCACUUCUCUCCAGGCUGGAACAGUGGAGAGCACUGGGUCUCAAGAGAGUUGAUGCUCCGAAGGAAAAUGUACCCAGGUGAGGGUUUAAAGAACAAACAGCCAGAAGAAUGAACUAACAUUUCUGAUUUUUAAGAUAUGGUAAAUUAGUGGCCUUUUAUACAGGUAUUCAAAUUCCUUAAAACCUAGCUGGAGGCCUUGAGGUUUUCUGAUGAUGACCUGCAUUAUGUAGUUUGCCUUGGGUGAAUAGUAUAAAUGUGUGUGGCUUGGGUAUUUUAUUUAUUUAUUUGUAUUUUUUUAAACAGUCUUCAGUUGUUUUUCUUUUUAAAUUAG